AUGGAUUUGCUUUGCAUGCUCCAGCAGACCCAACCUAGAGAAAAUCCUGAGCAUCGUCGAGAAUGUGAACUGAUCCAAGCCGGCACCACUCUCGCACAUAUCGUGGUACAAGUCCAAUGCCUCCUCACUGCGCCCAUGGAGCGAAUAUGCUGCCAGCAUCGUGUUCCACGCCACGACACUCCUCCAUGGUAUCCCAUCAAACACCCGCCUCGCCUCGUCAAUCCGCCCGCACUUACUAUACAUGUCGAUGAGUGCACAUGGCAGGUAUUGGUCCUCGCACAUCCCCAUCUUGGCAACGCAACAAUGCAGCUCCCGUCCAGCGUGCACCGACCCCAACACCGUGGCCGCACGGACGGCCACCACGACAACCCUCGGCCCAGCACCCACACCCACCUCCUCCCAGAGCUCCCCGAACAGCGCCAGCGCCCCACGGGGACGCUUCGCAUCAACCAGCCCGCCCAUCAUCACCCCCCAGGUGACCCGGCUCCUGGUCGGCAUUCCAUCGAACACCUCGCGCGCCUCCGCGAGCAUCCCGCACACCAAAUACAUGCCCAGCACUCGGUUCCACAUGUACUGGUCGGGCUGGAACCCGGAGCUCUCCAUGUGCCAGAGUACCCCUGCCGCGGAACCGGCCUCCCGCAACGCGGAGGCGGCCGUGACCAGCGCGUCAUAGGUGGACGCUGGCAGAGCCACGAAGGGGGCGCCCGCGCGAGCGUCCCGGAGCGCGUCGCAAGCCUCCCGGUGACGCCCCUCGGCGACCAGCCGCUCGAUGGCGGCGCAGAGGGAAGGGAGAUGGACGGGGCUGCCGCGCCUGCGGCUGCGGAAGGGCGCCUGCCGUGGGAGCUGCGGGCGUGGCUUGAGCGCUUGGGAUUCCACCGAGCAUGCGGAGACGGUGUUGGUCGUUGCCGUGGCCGUGGCUUUGGUGGUGGUGCGGUAGUGGAGUGGGAGGCAGCGGAGGGGAGUGAGCUGCAGCUCCAUAUGUGGAUUGGAAACCAAGCCGAAUUCGGAAGGGGGUGA
rnacentral:rRNA from 1 species